UGGGGAAUAUUGCGCAAUGGGCGAAAGCCUGACGCAGCGACGCCGUGUGGGUGAUGAAGGCCUUCGGGUCGUAAAACCCUGUCGGGUGGAACGAAUCUCCAUCCUGCAAAUAGUGGGAUGGAUUGACGGUACCACCGAAGGAAGCCCCGGCUAACUACGUGCCAGCAGCCGCGGUAAUACGUAGGGGGCGAGCGUUGUUCGGAUUUACUGGGCGUAAAGAGCGCGUAGGUGGUCCGAUAAGUCGGAGGUGAAAUCCCUCGGCUCAACCGAGGAUCCGCGUCCGAUACUGUCGGACUUGAGUGCAGGAGAGGAGAGCGGAAUUCCCAGUGUAGCGGUGAAAUGCGUAGAUAUUGGGAGGAACACCGGUGGCGAAGGCGGCUCUCUGGACUGCUACUGACACUGAGGCGCGAAAGCUAGGGGAGCAAACG
rnacentral:rRNA from 1 species